rnacentral:rRNA from 1 species
GGAAUAUUGGACAAUGGGCGAGAGCCUGAUCCAGCCAUGCCGCGCGCAGGAAGACGGCCCUAUGGGUUGUAAACUGCUUUUAUACAGGAAGAAACACUCCCUCGUGAGGGAGCUUGACGGUACUGUAAGAAUAAGGAUCGGCUAACUCCGUGCCAGCAGCCGCGGUAAUACGGAGGAUCCAAGCGUUAUCCGGAAUCAUUGGGUUUAAAGGGUCCGUAGGCGGGAUAAUAAGUCAGCGGUGAAAGUCUGUGGCUCAACCAUAGAAUUGCCAUUGAUACUGUUGUUCUUGAGUGCUUAUGAAGUGGUUAGAAUAUGUAGUGUAGCGGUGAAAUGCAUAGAUAUUACAUGGAAUACCGAUUGCGAAGGCAGAUCACUAAUAAGAUACUGACGCUGAUGGACGAAAGCGUGGGUAGCGAAC